rnacentral:rRNA from 1 species
CAGUAGCCGCGGGAAUACGUAGGGUGCAAGCGUUAAUCGGAAUUACUGGGCGUAAAGCGUGCGCAGGCGGUUUGUUAAGACAGAUGUGAAAUCCCCGGGCUCAACCUGGGAACUGCAUUUGUGACUGGCAAGCUAGAGUAUGGCAGAGGGGGAUGGAAUUCCGCGUGUAGCAGUGAAAUGCGUAGAUAUGCGGAGGAACACCGAUGGCGAAGGCAAUCCCCUGGACCUGUACUGACGCUCAUGCACGAAAGCGUGGGGAGCAAACAGGAUUAGAUACCCCCGUAGUCCCUGUCUCUUAUAC